GGGGGCGACCGGUUUCGACGGGAUAAAAACGCUAUUAAACUGCAUGUCGAGGCCCAGGCAUCUCGUAAAUCACCUGGACACUUAAUAAGUGCCAAUUAUGGCAAUGUAGCUUACGCUUAAUUGACGUAAGUCGUCCUGAAUAGAAUACGCCUAUGGUUUUAUUCAAGGGCGUCAUUUACAUGGGCUGGUUCGGGCAGGUGUCCAAACUGUCCGGAUGAGAUUCAACUGGACUGGUUCCCAUAGCCUGGGGUUUCUGGCAGCUAUGGGAAUGAGAUUAAUCCAGCAAACUAAACAUGUAGAUGUUUCUUAGGGUUUUAUUUCGGACGGGAGUUCAACUCUCCCCGCCUCCACUA
rnacentral:tmRNA from 1 species